rnacentral:rRNA from 1 species
GGGCCCGCACAAGCGGUGGAGCAUGUGGUUUAAUUCGAUGCAACGCGAAGAACCUUACCUGCCUUUGACAUUGACAGAACCCUGGAGAGAUCCGGGGGUGCCUUCGGGCCUGGAAAACAGGUGCUGCAUGGCUGUCGUCAGCUCGUGCCGUGAGGUGUCAGGUUAAGUCCUAUAACGAGCGCAACCCCUACCGUUAGUUGCCAGCGUGUAAUGACGGGGACUCUAACGGAACUGCCGGUGCAAACCGUGAGGAAGGUGGGGACGACGUCAAAUCAUCACGGCCCUUACGUCCUGGCCACACACGUGCUACAAUGGUAGGUACAGAGGGAAGCCACCCCGCGAGGGGAUGCGAA